rnacentral:rRNA from 1 species
CACGUAGGGGGCAAGCGUUGUCCGGAUUUAUUGGGCGUAAAGAGCUCGUAGGCGGUUCGGUAAGUCGGGUGUGAAACCUCCAGGCUCAACCUGGAGACGCCACCCGAUACUGCUGUGACUAGAGUCCGGAAGAGGAGAAUGGAAUUCCUGGUGUAGCGGUGAAAUGCGCAGAUAUCAGGAAGAACACCCGUGGCUAAGGCGGUUCUCUAGUACGGUACUGACGCUGAGACGCGAAAGCGUGGGGAGCGAACAGG